rnacentral:rRNA from 1 species
UAACAAAAACAUCGUUUUUUGAAUAUAAUUUAAGAUUGGUUCUGCUCACUGAAUUCAGUUUUAAAGAGCUGCAGUAUACUGACUGUGCAAAGGUAGCAAAAUAAAUUGUUUUUUAAUUGAAAACUGGAAUGAAAGAUUUGAUGAGAUAUAAGCUGUCUCUAAAUAAUAUUUAGAAUUUAAAUUUUAAGUUAAAAUUCUUAAAUAUUUUUAUUAGACGAGAAGACCCUAUAGAAUUUAAUUAAUUUAUUUUAUGAAUUUUUUUAGUUUUUAAAAAGUUAAAUGAAUUAGAUUAAUUUAAUUGGGAGGAUUAUUAAAUUUAUAAAACUUUAAUUUUUAUAUAACAGAAAUUACUGAAUUGUUGAUUUUUAAAUAAUUAAAAGAUAAAAUUACCUUAGGGAUAACAGCGUAAUAUUCUUGGAGAGGCCUUAUUAAUAAGAAUGUUUGCGACCUCGAUGUUGAAUUAAGAUAAAAGCUAAAUGCAGCUGUUUAGUAUUUAAGUCUGUUCGACUUUUAAAAUCUUACGUGAUCUGAGUUC